rnacentral:rRNA from 1 species
UCGGCAAUGGAGGAAACUCUGACCGAGCAACGCCGCGUGAACGAUGAAGUAUUUCGGUACGUAAAGUUCUUUUAUUAGGGAAGAAUAAAUGAUGGAAAAAUCAUUCUGACGGUACCUAAUGAAUAAGCCCCGGCUAACUAUGUGCCAGCAGCCGCGGUAAUACAUAGGGGGCAAGCGUUAUCCGGAAUUAUUGGGCGUAAAGGGUGCGUAGGCGGUUAAAUAAGUUUAUGGUCUAAGUGCAAUGCUCAACAUUGUGAUGCUAUAAAAACUGUUUAGCUAGAGUAAGAUAGAGGCAAGUGGAAUUCCAUGUGUAGUGGUAAAAUGCGUAAAUAUAUGGAGGAACACCAGUAGCGAAGGCGGCUUGCUGGGUCUUUACUAACGCUGAGGCACGAAAGCGUGGGGAGCAAACAGGAUUAGAUACCCUGGUAGUCCACGCCGUAAACGAUGAGUACUAAACGUUGGGUAAAACCAGUGUUGAAGUUAACACAUUAAGUACUCCGCCUGAGUAGUACGUACGCAAGUAUGAAACUUAAAGGAAUUGACGGGACUCCGCACAAGCGGUGGAUCAUGUUGUUUAAUUCGAAGGUACCCGAAAAACCUUACCAGGUCUUGACAUGCUUCUGCAAAGCUGUAGAAACACAGUGGAGGUUAUCAGUUGCACAGGUGGUGCAUGGUUGUCGUCAGCUCGUGUCGUGAGAUGUUGGGUUAAGUCCCGCAACGAGCGCAACCCUUAUUGUUAGUUACCAGCACGUAAUGGUGGGGACUUUAGCAAGACUGCCAGUGAUAAAUUGGAGGAAGGUGGGGACGACGUCAAAUCAUCAUGCCCCUUAUGACCUGGGCUACAAACGUGAUACAAUGGCUGUUACAA